UACGAAGGGGGCUAGCGUUGCUCGGAAUCACUGGGCGUAAAGCGCACGUAGGCGGAUCGCUAAGUCAGGGGUGAAAUCCUGGAGCUCAACUCCAGAACUGCCAUUGAUACUGGCAAUCUCGAGUCCGGGAGAGGUGAGUGGAACUGCGAGUGUAGAGGUGAAAUUCGUAGAUAUUCGCAAGAACACCAGUGGCGAAGGCGGCUCACUGGCCCGGUACUGACGCUGAGGUGCGAAAGCGUGGGGAGCAAACAGG
rnacentral:rRNA from 1 species